rnacentral:tRNA from 1 species
GGGCGGCUAGCUCAGCGGGAGAGCACUGCCUUCACACGGCAGGGGUCGCAGGUUCAAACCCUGCGCCGCCCACCA